GAUGAACGCUAGCUACAGGCUUAACACAUGCAAGUCGAGGGGAAACGACAUCGAAAGCUUGCUUUUGAUGGGCGUCGACCGGCGCACGGGUGAGUAACGCGUAUCCAACCUGCCCAUCACUUGGGAAUAACCUUGCGAAAGUAAGACUAAUACCCAAUGACAUCCCACGAAGACAUCUGAAUGGGAUUAAAGAUUUAUCGGUGAUGGAUGGGGAUGCGUCUGAUUAGCUUGUUGGCGGGGUAACGGCCCACCAAGGCAACGAUCAGUAGGGGUUCUGAGAGGAAGGUCCCCCACAUUGGAACUGAGACACGGUCCAAACGCCUACGGGAGGCAGCAGUGAGGAAUAUUGGUCAAUGGGCGAGAGCCUGAACCAGCCAAGUAGCGUGCAGGAUGACGGUCCUAUGGGUUGUAAACUGCUUUUAUAAGGGAAUAAAGUGGGUCUCGUGAGACUUUUUGCAUGUACCUUAUGAAUAAGGACCGGCUAAUUCCGUG
rnacentral:rRNA from 1 species